GUAGGCAGCAAGCGUUGUUCGGAAUUACUGGGCGUAAAGAGUGUGUAGGCGGUGUUCUAAGUUUGUCGUGAAAUCUCCCGGCUUAACUGGGAGGGUGCGGCGAAAACUGGAAUGCUAGAGGAUGGGAGAGGUAGGCGGAAUUCCUGGUGUAGCGGUGAAAUGCGUAGAUAUCAGGAGGAACACCUGUGGUGUAGACAGCUUACUGGACCAUUUCUGACGCUGAGACACGAAAGCGUGGGUAGCAAACAGGAUUAGAUACCCUGGUAGUCCACGCCCUAAACGAUGCAUACUUGGUGUGAGCGAUUCAUUUCGUUCGUGCCGGAGCUAACGCGUUAAGUAUGCCGCCUGGGGAGUACGGUCGCAAGGCUG
rnacentral:rRNA from 1 species